rnacentral:rRNA from 1 species
AGCAAUUAGGGAGAAAACUCCAGGGAGACUGCGGGNGAAAAACCGGAGGAAGGUGGGGACGAAUCAAGUCAUCAUGGUCCUUANGAGUAGGGCUACACUCGUGCUACAGUGGCGCAANCAGAGGGCGGCCAACUUGCGAAAGUGAGCGAAUCCCAAAAAGUACGUCGUAGUCCGGAUUGGAGUUUGCANCUGGUUCCAUGAAGUGGGAAUCGCUAGUAAUCGUGGAUCAGAACCCCGGUGAAUACGUUCCGGGGCUUUGUACNCCNCCCCCGCCCGACAAGGGAGNGGCGCACAAAAAGUGG